AUUGAACGCUGGCGGCAGGCUUAACACAUGCAAGUCGAACGAGUGGCGGACGGGUGACUAAUGCUUGGGAAUCUAGCUUAUGGAAGGGGAUAAAUACGGGAAACUGUAGCUAAUACCGCAUACCAUAGGAUGAACCCAAGUGGGAUUAGGUAGUUGGUGAGGUAAAGGCUAACCAAGCCGACGAUCUAUAGCUGGUCUGAGAGGAGGACCAGUCAAACGGGGACUGAGACACGGCCCAGAGUCCUACGGGGGGAAGAAGUGGGGAAUCUUGCAAAAUGGGUGCAAGCCUGACGCAGCCAUGCCGCGUGUAUGAAGAAGGCUUUAGGGUUGUAAAGUACUGUCAGCGGGGAGGCGUUACCCGCAGAAGAAGCACCGGCUAACUCCGUGCCAGCAGCCGCGGUAAUAC
rnacentral:rRNA from 1 species